GGGGAUAUAGCUCAGUUGGUAGAGUGCUUGUCUUGCAUGCACAAGGUUCUGGGUUCAAUCCCCAGUACCACAA
rfam:Ictidomys tridecemlineatus contig111212, whole genome shotgun sequence.